rnacentral:lncRNA from 1 species
GGAGAGCGCACUCCAGCUACUCUCGAAUUCUCUGACCUAUGGCUUCACUGGCGGUGGCUUUCACGUCUGACUCUGCUGCAGGCUCUUUGAGGAGUCCUGCGUCUGCUCUUCUCUGCACUCAGCCACCUUGGCUCGCAAGGAAGCUGCUGGGGACCAGCCUGCUGCAACCCACCUCAGCAUCUCUUUAGGACCUCAGCUGCC